rnacentral:rRNA from 1 species
CACGUAGGCGGCUCUUUAAGUCAGGGGUGAAAUCCUGGAGCUCAACUCCAGAACUGCCUUUGAUACUGAGGAGCUCGAGUCCGGGAGAGGUGAGUGGAACUGCGAGUGUAGAGGUGAAAUUCGUAGAUAUUCGCAAGAACACCAGUGGCGAAGGCGGCUCGCUGGCCCGGUACUGACGCUGAGGUGCGAAAGCGUGGGGAGCAAACA